GUCCCGGGUGGCGACCUUCCGCAGGGGAUGAAACCACCUCGGCAUUCUACCCACAAGGCGGCCGUGCCGAGUAGCCGUUAUGGCUUCAAUGAAGGCCACGGUUUUCCAAGGGUAGAUACAUCUUUUUUU
rnacentral:misc_RNA from 1 species